UACGUAGGUGGCAAGCGUUGUCCGGAUUUACUGGGCGUAAAGGGCGUGCAGGCGGUUUGUUAAGUGCAGGGUGAAAGCUCCCGGCUCAACUGGGAGAGGUCCUUGCAUACUGGCAAACUCGAGGGAGGCAGAGGAAAGUGGAAUUCCCGGUGUAGUGGUGAAAUGCGUAGAUAUCAGGAGGAACACCUGCGGUGUAGACGGCUUUCUGGACCAUUGUUGACGCUGAGACACGAAAGCGUGGGUAGCAAACAGG
rnacentral:rRNA from 1 species